rnacentral:rRNA from 1 species
UACGGGGGGAGCAAGCGUUGUUCGGAUUUACUGGGCGUAAAGGGCGCGUAGGCGGCCUGCUAAGUCGGACGUGAAAUCCCUCGGCUCAACCGGGGAACUGCGUCCGAUACUGGUGGGCUCGAAUCCGGGAGAGGGAUGUGGAAUUCCAGGUGUAGCGGUGAAAUGCGUAGAUAUCUGGAGGAACACCGGUGGCGAAGGCGGCAUCCUGGACCGGCAUUGACGCUGAGGCGCGAAAGCCAGGGGAGCAAACGGG